GAUGAACGCUGGCGGCGUGCCUAAUACAUGCAAGUCGAGCGAACAGACGAGGAGUUUGCUCCUCUGACGUUAGCGGCGGACGGGUGAGUAACACGUGGAUAACCUACCUAUAAGACUGGGAUAACUUCGGGAAACCGGAGCUAAUACCGGAUAACAUGUUGAACCGUAUGGUUCAACAGUGAAAGACGGUCUUGCUGUCACUUAUAGAUGGAUCCGCGCCGCAUUAGCUAGUUGGUAAGGUAACGGCUUACCAAGGCAACGAUGCGUAGCCGACCUGAGAGGGUGAUCGGCCACACUGGAACUGAGACACGGUCCAGACUCCUACGGGAGGCAGCAGUAGGGAAUCUUCCGCAAUGGGCGAAAGCCUGACGGAGCAACGCCGCGUGAGUGAAGAAGGUCUUCGGAUCGUAAAACUCUGUUAUUAGGGAAGAACAAAUGUGUAAGUAACUAUGCACGUCUUGACGGUACCUAAUCAGAAAGCCACGGCUAACUACGUG
rnacentral:rRNA from 1 species